GUGGCUAUAGUAUAAAGGCUAGUACAUCAGAUUGUGGCUCUGAAAAUCCGGAUUCGAUUCCCGGUAGUCACCCCA
rnacentral:tRNA from 1 species